CUGCAACAAGCAAAGAUUCGGUUGAAAUCCAACCAAGCAAAACAGAUCACAAAGCGUAAAGAAAUUAAUUAGUUUGAUUUUAUUAUUUAUUGCCAAAUAAUUAAAUAUUUACAUAUUUUUCUCAUAAUUGACUGUUUCGCCAUUCUACGGCCAAAACAGCUAAGACUCAGACCCUUAAGCGCGUCGCAACACCGAGUCACCACCACUUAACGCGUCAACAGACUCUUCUUUCGCGAUCAUAACGGCGUCAGCAUCCCACCACGUAUC
rnacentral:misc_RNA from 1 species